rnacentral:rRNA from 1 species
GGGGAAUAUUGGACAAUGGGCGAAAGCCUGAUCCAGCCAUGCCGCGUGAGUGAUGAAGGCCCUAGGGUUGUAAAGCUCUUUCACCGAUGAAGAUAAUGACGGUAGUCGGAGAAGAAGCCCCGGCUAACUUCGUGCCAGCAGCCGCGGUAAUACGAAGGGGGCUAGCGUUGUUCGGAAUCACUGGGCGUAAAGCGCACGUAGGCGGAUUGUUAAGUGAGGGGUGAAAUCCCGGGGCUCAACCCCGGAACUGCCUUUCAUACUGGCAAUCUCGAGUUCGAGAGAGGUAAGUGGAAUUCCGAGUGUAGAGGUGAAAUUCGUAGAUAUUCGGAGGAACACCAGUGGCGAAGGCGGCUUACUGGAUCGAUACUGACGCUGAGGUGCGAAAGCGUGGGGAGCAAAC